CGGUAACAGCUCAAAUUUGAAAUCUGGCCUCACGGUCCGAGUUGUAAUUUGUAGAGGAUGCUUCGAGCAUGGUCUGGCCUAAGUUCCUUGGAACAGGACGUCAUAGAGGGUGAGAAUCCCGU
rnacentral:rRNA from 1 species